UCUAACGAAGGGGUAAUACCCGGAGACCUGGUGGAGGGGCAUCUCUUUGCCAGCAAAGGAGUUCCGCUCGGGGAGGGGUUCACGUGCUAUUAGCUAGUUGGCGGGGUAACGGCCCACCAAGGCUAAGAUGGCUAGCGGGUGUGAGAGCACGACCCGCGCCACUGGCACUGAGACACUGGCCAGACUCCUACGGGAGGCUGCAGUCGAGGAUCUUCGGCAAUGGGCGCAAGCCUGACCGAGCGACGCCGCGUGCGCGAUGAAGGCCUUCGGGUUGUAAAGCGCUGUCGAGGGGGAGGAAAACCCGCAAGGGUCUGACCUAUCCCUGGAGGAAGCACGGGCUAAGUUCGUGCCAGCAGCCGCGGUAAGACGAACCGUGCAAACGUUGUUCGGAAUCACUGGGCUUAAAGGGCGCGUAGGCGGGUUCCCAAGUCGGUGGUGAAAUCUUUCAGCCCAACUGGAAAAGUGCCGCCGAUACUGGGAGUCUUGAGGGAGGUAGGGGUCGAGGGAACUGGUGGUGGAGCGGUGAAAUGCGUAGAUAUCACUAGGAACGCCGGUGGCGAAAGCGCUCGACUGGACCUCUUCUGACGCUGAGGCGCGAAAGCCAGGGAGCAAACGGGAUUAGAUACCCCGGUAGUCCUGGCCCUAAACGAUGGGUACCAGACUGUGGACUUGACAUGGGUUCACAGUCGAGGCAAAAGUGUUAAGUACCCCGCCUGGGGAGUAUGGUCGCAAGGCUGAAACUCAAAGGAAUUGACGGGGGCUCACACAAGCGGUGGAGCAUGUGGCUUAAUUCGAGGCUACGCGAAGAACCUUA
rnacentral:rRNA from 1 species